rnacentral:snRNA from 1 species
GUGCUCAUUUUGGCAACACAUAUACUAAAAUUGGAAUGAUACGGAGCAGAUCAGUAUGGCCCCUGCACAAGGAUGAUUUUAAAGUGCUCCAUAUUUUU